UGUAAUCCCAGCACUUUGGGAGGACGAGGCGGGUGGAUCACGAGGUCAACAGAUCGAGACCAUCCUGGUCAACAUGGCGAAAUCCCGUCUCUACUAAAAAUUACAAAAAAUUAGCUGGGCACGGUGGCACGUGCCUGUAAUCCCAGCUACUCAGGAGGCUGAGGCAGGAGAAUUGCCUGAACCCAGGAGGGGGAGGUUGUGGUGAGCUGAGAUUGUGCCAUUGCACUCCAGCCUGGGUAACAAGAGCGAAACUCCGUCUCAAAAAAAAAAAAAAAAAAAAGAAAGGCAGAGGUGAAGAAGGGUAUGUCCAUAUAGGGAACAGCAAGAGCAGGGGCGGGGGUAGGGGCAGGGACAUGACCCAACCUGGAAGGGUUGCAGGUUCAAGUGAUUUGCCUUCCUCAGCCUCCCAAAGUGGUGGGAUUACAUGUGUGAGCCACCGCACCUAGCCCUGAUUUGCUGAUUUUUUUAAUGAAAUUUUUUCAUCUAAGUUAAUAAGAAUUAUUGUUCAUAGUUUUUUUUGUUUGUUUGUUUGUACUGUCUUUGGCUGGUUUCAUCUCAGGGUAAUAACAAAUUCAUAAAAUGACCACGGGAGUGCUUCCUCCUAUUUUAUUUUCUGGAACAAAUUGCAUAAAAUUGUGUUAUUUCUUUAAAUGUUUGAUAGAACACUCUGGUAAAACCAUAUGGGCCUGAAAAUUGUCUUUAUGGAAGUUUUUUAAUUACAAAUACAUUUAUGUAGUUGUAUAGGGCUAGUCAGGUUAUCCUCUCUAUCUUGGUAUGUUUUGUAAGUUUUUGGAUUUUGAAGAUUUGUUCCAUUUCUUCUAAUGUUUUGUAUUUAUGAUGCAAAUUUAUUCAUAGUAUUUUCUUACUGCUUUUUAAUGGCUGUAGGGUCUGUAGUCAUAGCCUGUUUUCAUUCCUGAUAUUGAGGAUUUACGGUUUUUUGAUCAUUUUAUCUUUGUCAGUCUUGCUAAAAGUUUUUCAAUUUUGUUGAUUAUUCUCAAAGAACCAGUUUUUCGUUUCAUUUAUCUUUUCCAUUGUUUUCCUGUUUACAAUUUUAUUUAUUGCUACUCUUACCUUCAUGAUUUUCUUCCUUUUUAUCUUCUUUGGGUUUAUUUGGCUCUUCAUUUUUAGUUUCUUGAGAUAGGAUGGUAUAGCUUGAAUGUGUGUCCCUGCCAAUGCCAAAUCUCAUGCUGAAUGGUAAUCUCCAAUGCUGGGGGUGGAGCCUGUGGGAAGUAACUGGAUAAUGGGAGUGGAUAUCUCAAGAAUGGUUUAGCACCCUCCCCUUGGUGCUGUCCUCAUAAUAGUGAAUGUGUUCUCACAAGAUGCAGCAAACCACCAUGGCACAUGUAUACCUCUGUAACAAAUCUGCACGUUCUGCAUAUGUACCCUAGAAUUUAAAGCAUAAUAAUAAUAAAAUAAAUAAAAUCAUUAAAAUAUUAUAAAUAUUUAUAAAUUUUUAUAUUAUUAAAUAUUUAUAAAUAUUAUAAAUAUUUAUAAAUAAAUAAAUAAAUAAAUAAAUAAAUAAAUAAAUAAAAGUGUGUGGCACCUCUCUCCCCCUCUCUUUCUUGU
rnacentral:lncRNA from 1 species